UGAUGUGGCUCAGUUGGUAGAGCAGCUGAUUCGUAAUCAGCAGGUCACCGGUUCAAGUCCGGUCAUCA
rnacentral:tRNA from 1 species